ACCUCUUGUCUUAUUUUUUUCCUUUUCUCUUCUAGAUCAACUAAUCACAAAUGGAAUUUCAAGGAAAAUUCAAAGUACUCACCUUGAAAGGCUUUAUCAUCCUAAGAAGUUUGUACUUCAUCCUGACAGCAAAUAAAUGAUGAAUGAGACAUUUCUAGUUGCAAUAUGAAGAAUGGAGUGAACAGAGUAAUUCUGGAGAUGUACUGCCUCCUGGACUGGGUCAGACAGUCACAGAAUACAGGCUUCAAACUGCUUUUCACACCAUUCUGGUUGGAAAUGGAACCUUUGGAGGCUCAUCAUGUUACCUUUAGCAAAACUGGAAACCAGACGUUGAGAAUGCCAGUGGCCAGCCUUUCAUUAAAAAGCUUUGCAAAGGAAGUCUCUUGGUCAGUGUGACUCACUUGCCUGAAAUUAACUGCUGUUGAUUUCAGCUGCUCCUUAAUCAACGAAACCCAGCCAAUUCAUGUGGACUGAGACACACAUGGCCUUUCAAGUUAAUUGAGUGCUUACUAUGUGUGACUCACUGUAAAAAGGAUGGGAGAGAAAAUGAGGAGACAAAUAAGGUACAGGGUCUGCCUUCAGUGAAGCUACAAUUAGUUUCAGGAUGCAUAUUUCUUUAUUUUGCUCAUAGUUAAAAGUUUCUCUCAUACAAGAAACAAAUGAAUGGGAAAACAUAUUCUGUAAAUAUUUUAAGCUUCAUUAAUGAGAAACAAAAUAAAACACAGAACAACAACAGCAAAACAAUCUGGGAAAUUCAAGACAUUUUAAUCCUUUAUUGUUUUAUUUUAUUAUCUUACAGUGCUAAAAUAAAAUCUAUUCUAUUUAUUCCAUAAAUAUUUGGUAAACUUUAGAGACAUAACGUUUUGAGUUAAUUUGAGUUCAAUUCUACUUUUGUCCUAUAUGUGUAAGUUGUCUGUUGGAAAACCCAUAUUGUUUAUUGGGAGGUGGGAUGCUGAGUUACAUCUGUUGUAUCCACAGACAUCUAUCUUCUGUGACCUCAAGAGCACCAUUCUGCGUAAGAUACUUGUGAGGAGAAGAGGAAGAUUUAGAUAAAAUUUGGGGUUUGGGACUUACAGAUCUAAGACUGGACAGAGAGCAACAAAACAUCUGGCAAAGGAUCUUGGAAAUCUGGCUGAGAAAUUUUUAAAAGUAUUCAUUUCUUGUCCCCCAUAGCUUGAAUAACUAAAAAGUUUCCCUAAAAAUUUUUAUUGGACUUGAGAAUAAGUCAUUACUUUUCCAGUGUGAAGAUGCUGAUAUUACUAGAGGCACUGGGCAUCUUAUGCCAUUUCUGUAACCUAUUUUUAUAUGGGUGAGCCAACAACAGCCAUUUUUGUCUUGAGUAGUAUCCAUGUAAUUGAAAAUGUGACAAUUCUUUUAAAACAUCAUCAACAGACUUCCUAAUUAAGCUGCCAAUACAAACUGAACUGUCAAUGUCACCGUGUGCUGUUUGACAAAUGAAUAGUGUUGCUUGAACCGUGUUAAGUAAACAGUGCUGUCCCUUC